UAGGGAAUCUUCGGCAAUGGGGGGAACCCUGACCGAGCAACGCCGCGUGAGUGAAGAAGGUUUUCGGAUCGUAAAGCUCUGUUGUUAAGGAAGAACGAGUGUGAGAAUGGAAAGUUCAUGCUGUGACGGUACUUAACCAGAAAGGGACGGCUAACUACGUGCCAGCAGCCGCGGUAAUACGUAGGUCCCGAGCGUUGUCCGGAUUUAUUGGGCGUAAAGCGAGCGCAGGCGGUUAGAAAAGUCUGAAGUGAAAGGCAGUGGCUCAACCAUUGUAGGCUUUGGAAACUGUAGAACUGGAGUGCAGAAGGGGAGAGUGGAAUUCCAUGUGUAGCGGAGAAAUGCGUAGAUAGAUGGAGGAACAGCGGUGGCGAAAGCGGCUCUCUGGUCUGUAACUGACGCGGAGGCUAGAAAGCGUGGGGAGCGAACAGG
rnacentral:rRNA from 1 species